rnacentral:rRNA from 1 species
AUUGAACGCUGGCGGCAUGCCUUACACAUGCAAAUCGAACGGUAACGGGCCUUCGGGUGCCGACGAGUGGCGCACGGGUGAGUAAUACAUCGGAACGUGCCCGAUCGUGGGGGAUAACGAGGCGAAAGCUUUGCUAAUACCGCAUACGAUCUACGGAUGAAAGCAGGGGACCGCAAGGCCUUGCGCGGACGGAGCGGCCGAUGGCAGAUUAGGUAGUUGGUGGGAUAAAAGCUUACCAAGCCGACGAUCUGUAGCUGGUCUGAGAGGAUGAUCAGCCACACUGGGACUGAGACACGGCCCAGACUCCUACGGGAGGCAGCAGUGGGGAAUUUUGGACAAUGGGCGCAAGCCUGAUCCAGCCAUGCCGCGUGCAGGAUGAAGGCCUUCGGGUUGUAAACUGAUUUUGUACGGAACGAAAAGCCUUCUUUUAAUACAGGAGGGUCAUGACGGUACCGUAAGAAUAAGCACCGGCUAACUACGUA